GACGAACGCUGGCGGCGUGCUUAACACAUGCAAGUCGAACGGAAAGGCCCUGCUUUUGUGGGGUGCUCGAGUGGCGAAAGGGUGAGUAACACGUGAGUAACCUGCCCUUGACUUUGGGAUAACUUCAGGAAACUGGGGCUAAUACCGGAUAGGAGCUCCUGCUGCAUGGUGGGGGUUGGAAAGUUUCGGCGGUUGGGGAUGGACUCGCGGCUUAUCAGCUUGUUGGUGGGGUAGUGGCUUACCAAGGCUUUGACGGGUAGCCGGCCUGAGAGGGUGACCGGCGACAUUGGGAAUGAGAUACGGCCCAGACUCCUACGGGAGGCAGCAGUGGGGAAUAUUGCACAAUGGGCGGAAGCCUGAUGCAGCAACGCCGCGUGCGGGAUGACGGCCUUCGGGUUGUAAACCGCUUUCGCCUGUGACGAAGCGUGAGUGACGGUAAUGGGUAAAGAAGCACCGGCUAACUACGUG
rnacentral:rRNA from 1 species